UACGGGGGGGGCAAGCGUUGUUCGGAAUUACUGGGCGUAAAGGGCCAGUAGGCGGCCAACUAAGUCGGAUGUGAAAUCCCCAGGCUUAACCUGGGAACUGCAUCCGAUACUGGAUGGCUUGAAUUCGGGAGAGGGAUGCAGAAUUCCAGGUGUAGCGGUGAAAUGCGUAGAUAUCUGGAGGAAUACCGGUGGCGAAGGCGGCAUCCUGGACCGACAUUGACGCUGAACGGCGAAAGCUAGGGGAGCAAACGGG
rnacentral:rRNA from 1 species